rnacentral:rRNA from 1 species
UACAGAGGGGGCAAGCGUUAUUCGGAAUUAUUGGGCGUAAAGGGCGCGUAGGCGGCUUUGCAAGUGACGGGUGAAAUCCCUCGGCUUAACCGAGGAACUGCCUGUCAAACUGCAUGGCUUGAGACCGGGAGAGGUGAGUGGAAUUCCUGGUGUAGCGGUGAAAUGCGCAGAUAUCAGGAGGAACACCGGUGGCGAAGGCGGCAUCCUGGACCGGUAUUGACGCUGAGGCGCGAAAGCCAGGGGAGCAAACGGG